UGGGGAAUAUUGGACAAUGGGCGCAAGCCUGAUCCAGCCAUGCCGCGUGAGUGAUGAAGGCCUUAGGGUUGUAAAGCUCUUUUACCAGGGAAGAUAAUGACGGUACCUGGAGAAUAAGCCCCGGCUAACUUCGUGCCAGCAGCCGCGGUAAUACGAAGGGGGCUAGCGUUGCUCGGAAUCACUGGGCGUAAAGCGCACGUAGGUGGGUCGUUAAGUCGGGGGUGAAAUCCUGGAGCUCAACUCCAGAACUGCCUUCGAUACUGGCGAUCUUGGAGUCCGGGAGAGGUGAGUGGAACUGCGAGUGUAGAGGUGAAAUUCGUAGAUAUUCGCAAGAACGCCAGUGGCGAAGGCGGCUCACUGGCCCGGUACUGACACUGAGGUGCGAAAGCGUGGGGAGCAAACA
rnacentral:rRNA from 1 species